UUGGAAUUGAAGGCGACCUGAUCC
rnacentral:piRNA from 1 species